GUAGGUGAACCUGCGGAAGGAUCAUUACAGAGUAUCAUGCCCUUCGGGGUAGAUCUCCACCCUUGAAUAACAUACCUUUGUUGCUUUGGCAGGACGCACUCGUGCCAGGGGCUUCGGCUCUUGAGUGCCUGCCAGAGGACCACAACUCUUGUUUUUAGUGAUGUCUGAGUACUAUAUAAUAGUUAAAACUUUCAGCAACGGAUCUCUUGGUUCUGGCAUCGAUGAACAGCAUCUGACUGACUCGAACUCA
rnacentral:misc_RNA from 1 species